AAGAGCUCCAUUUUUCCCGCUCCACAGAGGACAUUUUAUUUUUGCAGUUCUUUGAAGUGCCCUCAGAGAUCUAAGCACCAGGCUGAAGGCAGCUCUGUGUAUCCUUGCAACAGAUUAGAACAUAUUCACAUUUUAUUUGCUCACAGAACAAAUAUUUCCCUUGGAAUGAGACCGAGGCAGUGGAGCAGGACCAGGCAGGACCAGCCACCAAAGACGGCCCCCCAGGCCCCAUGCUGGGCCUGCUCAGCGCCUGCACAAUUGGUUCCACAUAAUUGCUUCUCCACACUCACCUCAUUUAGGCCCUAUAGACACAUAUGGGCUGAUUAGUUGAGUCAUUUAUUGAUUCAGGAAUAUUUGUCGAGCCUCAACAAUGUACCAAACACUAUGCUGGUUACAGAAAUAAAGAGAGAAACACAUUCUGUCCUCAAGGGGCUCCUAAUCAAGUAGGGGAGAGAAGCAAUGUCUGUAUAUUAAUGAAUCAAAUCAAGGUGACAAAGAUAAGGCUUCAGAACCCAGGAGACAAAGUGUUUGAGGCCGAAGCUCCCUAGCGCUGGGGCCUCCACUCUGGGAAGGGCCCUGUGGGUGAAUCUCUGAGCGUUUACUGGGCUCCUUCUCUACCUGGGCUGCCGCACCCAGAACAGUUCUUAGAGUUUCCAGCCUCCUGAGCUCGCGGAAUAGCAAAGGCGGACCAUGAAAAAAAUGGAGUGUAUCAAGAGAAGAGUGGUCCAGGAUAUUUGUGGGUCUAUAAAUCAAGUCCUCUAAGGAACUGAGGCUGUUUAGCUCAGUGAAGAUGAAAAGGAGACACCAUGAAGAUACAUCUCCAGCCCUAUGAAAGGCAGCCAUGUGGAGGAGUGUGGAGGAUGCUCUGUGUGCCCCUAGAGGGUGAAAAUGGGCCCAGUGGAUGAAGACUUCAGUCAUGCACCCCGUAAACACUUAUUGUGCACUGAUUUUGUUCCAAGUAUUGUUCUAAGUGCUGUCUAGGGAAGAAGAUGACAAGGAAUGGGACACACAAUCCUUGUUCAACAUCAGGAAGAACUUUCUGAAGAUCAGAGCUGUCCAGUAACGCAGCAGGCUUCUUGAAAAGUAGUGAGCUUCCUAUCUUUGGAGUAUUCAGGAGGAGGCUGGGUGCCCACUUAUCAGAAUGUGCUAGGAUGAGUCUUUUGUGGAGUGGUAAGUGGAACUAAAUCCCCUUCCAGUUCCAAAAUUCCACAUCUACAUUCAGCUUUGUUUUGGCAGGCUAGUGUGCGCUGUGCUGAAAGAGUGCCAUCCUGACCCCCCACUUCCACCUAGCCUUGUCCGCCCUGGUGUGUGCUCCGAGUUCUCUGACAGUGAGCUGAGGUGGGCCAGUUAGACUGGAAAGUGGCUGCAUCUGUGACAGGGAUGAUGGAGUUCUGGCGGGUUUGUGUGGGCUCAAGGAAUGCGGCAUUGAAGCCAUGUACACACAACCUGCUUAAGAACAUCCCAUGGGCAGAAAAUGUUUUCUUCCUCUUUAGCCCUCCUCUGUUGCUGUGCCAGGCGGGCACAAUGGUGCCUUUGAGAGGGGCAGCUGGAAGGGGGUGUUGGCAGGCAGACUGGAAGUAGAAUAUUGCAGCUGGGGGUGGGGGUGCCCAAAUUCAUUUCCAGGAGUGAGCCGGCACUGGGUGCCAGUUUCCAAAACAAAACUGCUGUUUCUCAGAGUUCACAGUGAUGGGUUGCUUCAGAGUUGGACAGAAGGCAAAGCUGUUUCCUAUCCACUGCUCCACCCUCCCCAGGUGUUUUUUUCUCUUUCUUUCUUUUUUUUUUUUUAAACUAGUGUGUUAAGGGAUUCUUGCUCUGGAUGCAGAUUAAUAGGCUUUGCUGUCUGUCUGGGAAGCUGAGGCCAACCUGGAGUGGAUGGGGCUUUUUGAGGGAUCACACUUUCCUGCAGACAAAGCAGGGCCUGAUGGCCUGGGGGCCAGCAGGGAUCAUGGGCAGGUAGGCUUCUGAGCCAUGAGAGAGGGCUCAGAAUGGAGACCCUUUCUGCCCUGCAGGGUGACUUCCACCCUACAGCCACCUGGCACCCUCACUGCCACAUGAGCUCUGCCCACUCACUGUCUUAAUUCUGUUGGGUGGGAAAGAGGUGGGAGAAUGUUGGCAUUUCCUGUCCUGGUUCACAGUUGUCCCGGACCCUCUGCUACUAUCAAAGAUACCACCAAUAGCUUCCUAGAGAUGGGCGUGGGAGGCCUUCUCACUCACUGCGCAGUUAGGAGAAGGCAUGAGUGCCAGCCAUCUUCCCCUUUGUGUUACAAAUGCAGCAAGGUGGGCCCCUUUUUCUGGUAGCUUCCAAGAAAAAGGCGGGACUUGAGGCUGGCCAAGUGAUCAUUGCUAAUGUUCACACCAAUUGUGGAAUUCCCUAUACUUGGUUCAAUUUUAUAAUCAACAAACAACUAUUGAGGAAUUAGUUCAUUUUAGGCAUUGUGCUAAGUCCAGGGGUAUAGAAUGAAUAAGAUAAAGUCCUUGCUUCAGAAAGCUGACUGCCUGAUAGAUAUGCCAAGUCCUGAAUGGGAGCCCCUUUAUCAACUAAAUGGACACAUGACUUUUCUAAAAGCAGGAAGGUAAUGCAGAGGUCAUCUCCUACUGCAGGUCCCGUGGCAUUGUGAAGGGCAUAUGGGCUGGGGAUCACAGAUUGAGGCUUGAAACUCAUCUGAUCUUGGGAGUACUUACUUGUUUUAUGAGAUGCAGUUUCCUUGGGUAAAUAAUGGGAAUAAUACACAACCAUGCAGAGCUGUUAUAAAGAUGAAAUAAGACAGAGCUUGCCACGUGGUAAGUACUCAGUAAGUUGCUGCUAUUGUUAUUCAUUUGUUGAGCCUAAUGGGCUUGAGAUAUAACACGUGUGUGUGCACAGUGGUAUUUAUCCAACCCCUUGUAGAUUCUAUGACCUUCUUUAAAGAUUCAGUUCUUCUACCUUCUUAAUUCCUCUUCUAGUGAAGACUAAGAUUAGUAAGUUUAUGACUUCACAGGAUAAGUUAGAAAAACAAAGACAUAUCCACUAUAGCCAACAAGACAUAUUUGUAUAUAAUAUUCUCUGUUUAAUAACCUGUGAUUGUAGAGGAAGAAAAGGAUUGUAAUGUUUCUCUUCCCUGAGGUUCCCAAAUCUCCCAUGUGUGGUGAUGAAGAUCAUGAAUUCCUCUGAAUAUUCUAAAAAGUCUAGGUCAUUUCCCACUGAUGGGGCCUCGCAGUUUAUUAUUACUUAAAAGAUGCAUUUGUUUGGUAGACAUUGCUUGGGGAAAGUUAUUCUUUUAGUAAGGGACCUUGGUGGUAGAAGACAUAUGCUUCCUGGGGCUGGGACAGAAGUUGGCUGAGAGGAUCUUCCAGAAAGAAAUGUAUUGUGGGAGAGCAUUCUGACCCAACAUGCUGAAUCACUUGACCCCCAACUUUGGUCUUCUGAGACUUUCUUGGGCCCCAUCUAUUAAACAUGCUGCAUAUCCCUCAACAACUACUUUGUGAAAAUGUAGGCAUAAAACAUAAUCUUUAAAAGUUACUUCUAAGUCCACGGAAGACACAAAGUAGAUAGAGCCAGGAGUCUGAAGACAAAAGAAAAUCAAAGUAAUUCACAAAGAACAAAAGAAAUGGAAAAGAACCGGAAAAUAAAAGCAUAUGAAUGAAUAGAGGCUUGAAGUGAACUACAGGGUGCACAUUAGUAAGAAAUAAAAAAGAGGGUCAUUUAAGAAAAAGAAAAAGUUUUAUGUGCCAGAAACUGCAAGCAAACAAUGGAAUUUUGUAAGGGAAAGUUGACAGAAACAGUUUUUCUUUAGUAAGCUGAACGAUUCUAAGCAUUAGUGAAGGAAACUCGUAGUCAGUGCACGACUGAAAGAGACAGAGAUGGGGAUGAUGGAGCUGCAUUUAAAAAUGAAUAAAGAUUUAAUAAGCCAAAGAAUCACAGAGGUCCUCAGGAGGCCUGAUGAUAAAGAAACAAGGGCUAACAUUACCCUAAGAUUGAAACGAGGCCAAUGUUGUAGCAGUGCUGAUUCCUGGUUGGUGGGAUUGGGGGUUAUUUUCUUUUUUGCCCCUCUGUAUUUUAAAAUGUUCUGCCAUGAAUUUGGAUUACCUUUGUAAUCGGGAAAAGAGGUUAGCCCACAUAUUAGGAGUAGCGGAAAGAAACCGAUUAGGAGGAAGCAGAAAGAAACCAAGUGGUGAGAACCGGUGAAUGGGCAAGAAGAAGCAACCAGAAGUGGCAGGAGCUGCCUUGGAUGGUCUCACAGUGAAGGUGAUGCUGGAAUGAGGGAGCUGCUGGACUGGAUUGAGGAAGGGGAAUAAACUAGAAGGAGGAGCUCUCUCAGGACCAUUCUAGCCUUACUUUUGACUCCAUGGUUUGAUAUGUAAUCAGGUUGGCCCUCUUAUUUUCCACGAACUCAAAAUCCCUUCUAAUGCUCUUCUCAACUUUCCCUUCCCCAUGCGUGUUUCCAUUUCUUCCACUGUGGCGGCAUGGACAGGCUGUACGUCAGCCAAUUCCUACUUUCCUUACUCCAGGGAAAGGCUCUACCUGUGGUAGCUGAGAAGAAGGUUCAGAUCAUAUCAGGAGAGACCAAGACUUGAAGACCUCUUUCCCUCUAGUUUAAGAGUGUGCAGCACUGCAGGUGGAUGCUAAGACAGAGUAGAGAAUGCCCACAGCUGGAGCUUAAGAGCCGUGAGUUCUCUUCUGCACAUACUGGUUUGGGUGAAGUUAGUCAAGGUACUUAACCUGUGAAGUCCUUGAUGUCUCUUUUUUAAAAAUAAUAGCACUGGCCAGGUGUGGUGGCUGAUGCCUGUAAUCCCAGCACUUUGGGAGGCCAAGGCAGGUAGAUCUAUUGAGGUCAGGAGUUUGAGAUCAGCCUGGCCAACAUGGUGAAACCCCAUCUCUACAAAUACAAACAUUAGCCAGGCAUUGUGGUGUGUGCCUGUAAUCCCAGCUACUUGGGAGGCUGAAGUAGGAGAGUCACUUGAACUUGGGAGGCAGAGGUUGCAGUAAGCUGAGAUCGCGCCACUGCACUCCAUCCUGGGUGACAGAGCGAGGCCCUGCUUCAAAAUAAUAAUAAUAAUAAUGGCGCUGGUUUAGAUUGGAAUAGCUAAAGGUAUCUGCCCAAUCUUAAAGGACAGUAAUCUGACUCAUUAUUUGUGCUAAAUGUUAGUUUUAGAAUAUGGAUUCUCAUAGGUGAGACCCAUAUCCUGAUAUGGUGAUAUGGAUUAAAUAUCACCAGCAUAGUACCCAGCACGUCCUUUUUUUUAAAUUAAAUUUUUUAAAAUUUAACCAUUUUAAAGUGUCAGUGGCAUUUAGUCACACUGUCUUUUUAAAGUGUUAGAAUAACAUAGUCAUUUGGGUUGGUUCCAUUUUGUUGCAAUAAAAAAAUGUUGCAUUGCACCUCUAUGCUCAUGUGCGAGAAACUCUCUAGAUCGAUGUUGAGAAGAACUUGCUGGGUCAUAUAGGCUAUAAAUGCAUUUUCGGAUUGGCGUGUAUUGCUGAACCGCUCUCCAAAGUGGCUUACCACUGAUGUUCCCACCAGCAGUGUCUGAGAGUUCCCAUUUCUGCUCCUCGUCACGGAUAGUGGCUGGGUUUUCAUGGAACUCCAUAGGGCAGUUAAAAGUGACGAACCAGGCCAGGUGCAGUGGCUCAUGCAUGUAAUCCCAGCACUUUGGGAGGCCAAAGUGGGCUGAUCACUUGAGGUCAGGAGUUCAAGACCAGCCUGGCCAACAUGGCGAAACCCCGUCUCUACUAAAAAUAUAAAAAUUAACUGGACAUGGUGGUGGGUGCCUGUAAUCGCAGCUACUUGGGAGACUGAGGCGGGAGAAUCACUUGAACCUGGAAGGCAGAGGUUGCAGUGAGCCGAGAUUGUGCCAUUGCACUCCAGCCUGGGCGACAAGAGCAAAACUCCUUCUCAAAAAAAAAAAAAAAAAAAAAAAAGUGACCAACCUGCUCUAUCAGCACUAACAUGGAGUGAUCUCAAGAACAUAAAGGUGAGUGAAAAGGUAAGUUUGGAGCAUAAAGAGGCUGGGGCCUUCAGCUUUAUCUGUAAUAUUUUAUUUCUUCUGUUGAAAAAUAGUUGAAGGCGCCAGGCGCGGUGGCUCACGCCUGUAAUCUCAGCACUUUGGGAGGCCAAGGUGGGUGGGUCACCUGAGGUUAGGAGUUCAAUACCAGCCUGGCAAACAUGGCAAAGCCCUGUGUCUACUAAAAAUACAAAAAUUAACUAGGUGUGGUGGCGGGCACCUAUAAUCCCAGCUACUCAGGAGGCUGAGGCAGGAGGAUCACUUGAACCCAGGAGGAAGGGGUUUCAGUGGGCUGAGAUUGCACCACCGCACUCCAGCCUGGGUGACAGCAAGAGCUCCAUCUCAAAAAAAAACCAAAACAACAACCACAACAACAAAAAAUGGAAAAAUAGUUGAAGUAAAUAAGACAAAAUAAUGACAAUAUCAAUUCUGAGUGAGGGGGAGUUGGGAGUAUUUGAUAUACUAUUCUCAAGACUUUUCUGUAUUAAAAAAAUCCUCAAACACUCAAGAAUGAUCAAUAAAUACUAAAAAAAAAAUUAAAAAAAUCCUCAAUUAAAAGGAGUAAUUGAUGUGCAGAGAUUCCCAAAAUAUACUGGAUAACCAGAUAUUUUUUUUGAGCAGCUUCCAGAUUUGGACUUACUUCCCCUCCAUCAAAGUUUAUAUUAGUUCAUAUUAGUGGAGCUGGCUGACCUUCCCUUGUGAAUAUGUUUUAAAGAUUGGAUUAAAUAUCAAGGAAUUGGGCCAGGCACAGUGGCUUAUGCCUGUAAUCCCAGCACUUUGGGACGCCGAGGCAGGUGGAUCAUGAGGUCAGGAGUUCGAGACCAUCCUGCCCUACGUGGUGAAAUCCCGUCUCUACUAAAAAUGCAAAAAUUAGCUGGGCGUGGUGGUGCACGCCUGUAGUCUCAGGUACUUGGGAGGCUGAGGGAGGAGAAUCACUUGAACCUGGGAGGCGGAGGUUGCAGUAAGCCAAGAUCACACUACUGCACUCCAGCCUGGCAACAGAGCAAGACUCUGUCAAAAAAACAAAACAAAACAAAACAAAAAAACAAGGAAUUUUGUAAGUUCUUAUUUUUAGCCAGUGAAAUGAAACAUCUCUACAAAAUGUAAAAUAAGUGCUUGAGUUGAAGCCUGUCUGGUUUGCUCUACCUAUGAUCCCAUCCAGAAACCUCUACAAGGUUAUUCUGGGCCUGGGGUGGGGGAGGUGACUCACUGUGUGCCUCCCUCGCCCCACCCCCCACCUGCUUAAUCAGGUGAAAUCAGGUUAGAAUGAAUAUUAAGAGCCUCUGGAAGGGAAGAGAUGUCAGAGAGGAGUACCCUGAGAGACUGCCUUAGACCAGGGAUGGUGAGGGUGAGGGUGGGGGUGUGGGGACAUGCUGGCUUCUUUUUUGUUUUUUUGUUUUUUUUGAGAGAGUUUUGCUUUUGUCACCCAGGCUGUAAUGCAAUGGCCUGGUCUCCACUCACUGCAACCUCUGCCUCAUGAGUUCAAGAGAUUCUCCUGCCUCAGCCCCCCGAGUAGCUGGGAUUGUAGGCAUGUGCCACCACACCCAGCUAAUUUUGUGUUUUUAGUAGAGAUGAGGUUUUACCAUGUUGGCCAGGCUGGUCUCGAACUCCUGACCUCAGGUGAUCUGCUCACCUCAGCCUCCCAGAGUGCUGGGAUUGUAGGCAUGAGCCACCGCACCCAGCUGACAUGCUGGCUUCUUAAUUAGGGCCCACAAUGAUUUAUGGAGCACCCAGUUUCCAGGUACAGCACUCACGUUCACAGGCCUUCCUUUGUGGUCUCAUAGAAGAAGCAUCUAGGGUGAACGUUUGCAAUAUUUUUUUAUGCUCCCAUUUUGACAAAUGGAAAAAAUUAUUUCCUGCUUUUGACGUUAUCUGAAAUGUCAAAAUAAAGACUGGGAAUAAGGACAUUGGAUAUGCCCAAACCUGGUUGAGAGUCUCUGCUCUAGACUGAGCUUCUCAAGUGCCAGUACUGCCCCGAAACUCUCGGGUGUCUGGCAAAUCUGGAUUUGAAGGCUGAUCUGAUCACUUGUAGGUUAUGGACCUCAGGUGAGCUUCUUACCUUCUCUCAGCCUGUGUCCCCCUUCUCUGGAAAGGUGAUUAUGACACCUGCCACUUAGGGCUGCUUUGCAGAUUCCAUGAGGCACUUAGCACCACUGCCAGUUACAUAAAAAAACAAAAACAAAAAGCCCUGAAAACUUCAAUCCUAAUAAUGGCCUUGGGAGGUAGACUAACCCCUAUGCCCCCCAUUUUAUAGAUGAGAAUACUGAGGCUCAGAUAUACAGUUCAAUAAGUGGCUUAACCUAAGCACAGACCAGGGCUCACUGCCAGGCCUUGUGACUCCAAGUCAGGGCCCUGGCCAUGUGUCUACAGGUGAGCAGGAGAUUUAGAGUCACCUUCUCCCCUGCCUGAGUCACAGGCAGGGCCAGGAGUGAUUUGACUCACGUGGCUCUGCAGGACUCCUUGCAUCUAGUUUCCUUAGCGCUAGGUAAGCAAGCGCCAUAUUGAACAGCUUUUGUGUGUUCUGUGGACUCCCUUCAGUUUCUCUUUUGUCCAGUUGGCCCAGUUGGCCACAAGCUUCGUUUCAGAGAUGAGACCAAGUCUCCUAUUCCUUCUCAAACAGCCACUAGCCUCAGAGAAAUCGCCUGUAUAUCGCCUGAAUGGCUUUUUUUCUUUCUUUCUUUUUUUUCUUUUUUUUGAGACAGAGUCUUGCUCUGUUCCCCAGGCUGGAGUGCAGUGGUGCAAUCUUGGCCCACUGCAACCUCUGCCUCCCAGGCUGA
rnacentral:lncRNA from 1 species